rnacentral:rRNA from 1 species
ACGAACGCUGGCGGUAUGCUUAAGACAUGCAAGUCGAGCGGGGUUUAUUGAAAGCUUGCUUUUAAUAAACCUAGCGGCGGACGGGUGAGUAACACGUGAGCAACCUGCCUCUUACAUCGGGAUACCAAUUGGAAACGAUUGCUAAUACCGAAUAUGACCACAGUAUCGCAUGAUACAGGGGUGAAAGGGUUUACUGGUAAGAGAUGGGCUCGCGCCUGAUUAACUUGUUGGUAGGGUAACGGCCUACCAAGGUGAUGAUCAGUAGCCGACCUGAGAGGGUGAUCGGCCACAUUGGGACUGAGACACGGCCCAGACUCCUACGGGAGGCAGCAGUGGGGAAUAUUGCACAAUGGGCGAAAGCCUGAUGCAGCAACGCCGCGUGAGGGAAGACGGUCUUCGGAUUGUAAACCUCUGUCCUUGGUGAAGAAACAAUGACGGUAGCCUUGGAGGAAGCCACGGCUAACUACGUG